AAAAUUAUUGAGAAAGCUCGUUCAGUUGUAUGUUGUCGGGGAGAAUGAGAAAUGUAGGGGAAGGUUCAUAUGCAUCGUGGAAUGGUUAAGGUGGAAAGACGAAGUAAAGUGUGUUGGGAUUCAUUAAGUAUAAUAGAGAUAUAUAGUGUGAUAUGAUAAUUGAGAAGGAUGAAAAAUUGAAGUUGACUCAUUGAUGUGUGAAGCGAGUAACGAGCCAUAAGGCGAGUAAUCGUUAAGCGUUGUUAAGGAGGGAUAAGGAAAUAAAGGAAUGAGAGUAGAAGAGGAAAGUAGUAAAGGAGAGUAGAAGAGGUAGAGUAGAAGAGGAAAGUAGAAGAGGUAGGAGUAUAGAAGUAGUAAAUAAGAGAAUAAGAGAAUAAGGGAAUAAAAGAGCAAUAAAACGAGGAAAAGAAAGUGAAAAGAAUAAAAGAGAUAAAGGGAUAAAGUAGGAGAAUAAAGA